GUUAUAUGGUCAAGUGAAGAAGCGCAUACGGUGGAUGCCUUGGCAGUCAGAGGCGAUGAAAGACGUGGUAGCCUGCGAUAAGCUUCGGGGAGUCGGCAAACAGACUUUGAUCCGGAGAUCUCUGAAUGGGGAAACCCACCUAGCAUAAG
rnacentral:rRNA from 1 species